GCACAGCCCGGCGGGAAAGGGGCGGGGUCCCCGAGCUUGUUUUCCGCCGAACUUUUGGGGGAAACUCGUGCGGGAGCGUCUCAGAGAAAAAUCAGGAAGCCUUCUUCAGCCGGCCGGGUGCCCGGCUUUCCUCCUUCCUUCCCGGAGACAGCGGAGAGUUUCGCUUGUCGGAGGGAGGAAGGUGCUUAUUGUGCCUCUUGAGUUCCAGCUACAGUCAUACCUUGGCCCCCUUUGACUUCAAAACUGGUUUUAUUUGAACACACAUUUGAACAAGAAAACUGCUUCAGCAAUCCAGGCUUGCUCAGCACUCUUCACACUUGAUAAACUUGUAUGAGUCAAGACGCAACCCCCACCCUGUCUCUGUGGACAAAGCAAAGACUGAAGCACUAGUGUCUCACUGUAGCUCCUGCUUAGUGCAAAACCCCACAGUUUUCACCAUAUACUUUAUUGUGCUGUUUUUCAUUUCAAGUUUUUCCCCCCUUGCUAUUGUAAGCCACUAUGGGUUCAAAGAAGGUUAGUGAUACCACUCGACCAAAAAAAAAAAUGAGAGCCACAAUGGAACGGAAAAAAGAGAGAAUAACUAAGUGUAAGCAUGAUAGCCAUAUGUCUGAUCUCACUGCCAAGUACACAAUGCCUGGAACAAUGGCCUCUAUGAUGGUGAAAAGUAAGGAAGCUAUUAAAGGAGAUGUUGUUGAUAGAGGUAUGUUGGCUGUGACUAAGCAAAGGUCACAGACAUUAGAAGAAUUGGAGAAGUUACUGUACAUCUGGAUUAAUGAAAAACAGUUAGCAGGUGAUAGAAUUUCUGAGACACUAAUGUAUGAGAAAGCAAAACAAUUAUAUGUUGAUCUAUUAAAAGACAAACCUGGAACAAGUGAUGAGAGCAAUGAAGUGUUUGAAGCCCGCCAUGGAUGGUUUGAUAAAUUUAGAGUGAAAAGUGGCAUCCAUUGUGGAGUGAAGCAUGGAGAGGCAACCAGUGCCAACAGAGAAGCUGCUGAAACCUUUGUCAGUGAGUUUAGGGACUAUGUAGAAGCCGAGGGUUUUGUUCCUCAACAAGUCUUCAGUUGUCGUGAGACUAGUUUGUUUUGGAAGAAAAUACCCAACAGAACAGACAUCACUCAAGAGGAGGCGGCAGUGCCAGAGCAUAAGCUCACAGAGGAUAGUCUAGCUCUCUUGUUGUGUGGGAAUGCUGUCGGAGAUUUAAAACUUAAGCCUUUACUAGUCUAUCAUAAUGAAAACCCCCAGGUCUUCACGAAAGAAAAUACAAUAAAAAGCAAGUUAAGUGUAAUGUGGAGAGCUAACAGCAAAGCCUGGGUAACCAGGGAGUUCUUCAUCGAAUGGAUGAAUGAAGUGUUUGGCCCCAGUGUAAAAAAAUAUUUGCAAGAAAAGGAACUGCCCCUGAGGGCUCUGUUAAUAUUAGACAAUGUUCCAGCUCACCCUCCAGGCUUGGAAGAUGACCUGCUUAAGGAGUUUAAGUUUAUAACUGUGAAGUUCUUGCCCCCUAACACAACUUCUCUGCUGCAGCCCAUGGACCAGAAGGUCAUUUCAAAUUUUAAAAAACUGUAUACUAAGGCCAUCUUCCAGAGAUGUUUUGAGGUUACCUCAGAUACUCAGCUGACACUGAGAGAAUUCUGGAAGGACCAUUUCAACAUCCUCCACUGUGUCACUCUCAUAGGUAAGGCUUGGCGUGCAGUCUCUUACAAGACCAUGAACUCUGGUUGGAGGAAAUUGUGGCCAGAAGCUGUAACUCUGAGAGACUUUGAAGGAUUUGAGGCUGAACCUAGCCCAAUAGUGGAGGACAUUGUGUCUCUGGGCAAGUUUAUGGGUCUGAAGGUCAAUAAUGAAGACAUUGAAGAGUUAGUGGAAGAGCACAGGGAAGAACUCAGCACCGAGGAACUGCAAGAACUCCAGAGGGAGCAGCAACAGGUAGAGGCUGAAGAACUUUCUUCAGAUACUAAAAUGAAGGAAUCACUAGUAGAUGGUGAAAAUGACAAGGCAGUGGCAACACCAUUGGAGCAUCUGCAUGAAUUCAAGAUGGAACCUGAUGAUGCUCAGGAGUAUUGUCAAGCCCAACAGCCCAAAACUCAGGAGAGUGAACUGAAAAUAAACACCACAUUUUCAGACAGUGCUUCACACUUGACUGCGGGCGUUCAACUUUCUCUGGCAUCACCUGGCAUGAAUAAAAUGCUUCCUUCAGUUUCAACUACAGCUACUCAGGCUUCCUGUUCCGGUUGUAAAAAAAUUCUUCAGAGGGGACAGACUGCUUACCAGAGGAAAGGGUCUACUCAGCUUUUCUGCUCCACACCGUGCAUUUCUGAAUACAUCUUAUCUACUAAUUCACCAGCUCUCCCCAAGAGAACUUGUUCAAACUGCUUAAAAGACAUUUUAAAUCUAAAGGAUGUGAUUAAUGCCCAGCCUGAAGAUACUUCCUCGAGCAAAAGUUUUUGCAGCCAAGCAUGUCUUUCACAUUAUGAAGAAAAAAGAAAACCAGUUGUUACUCUGUGUACUACUAAUAACAUUUUAACAAAAUGCAGCAUGUGUCAGAACACUGCUAUCAUUCAGUAUGAAGUAAAAUACCUGGAUGUAAAACAUAGUCUUUGCAGUAAUGCCUGCUUUUCAAAGUUUCACUCUGAUAACAAUUUCACCAUGAACUGUUGUGAGAACUGUGGAGUUUACUGCUACACUAGCUCUAAUUUGUUCUAUAUACUUCCUAUGGAAGAACAGUCUCUUAAUGCGAAUAGUUCAAAGAGUAUUACAGGAUUUAAGAAGAAGCCAGCCAAAAUACUUACAUCUAUUCUUUGCAAAGCAUUGAAGCCCUCAGAUGAAAUGAUUGAGAUUACCAAUGACGUGGGGAAGAUAGAGCUUUUCUGCUCUGUUACUUGUUUCUCUGCUUACAGCAAAGCUAAGACUGAAUCAUCUACAGUAAAUGUUUCCAUGGUGCAAAAUGCUUCAGUGGAGCGUGUUUCUCCAAAGAAAGAUACAACUCCAGAUACAACUCCAGUUAUAAGCAACAUAGUAUCAUUAGCUGAUACUCAAGUUGCUCUGCCCUCCACAAACUCUGAUGUCUUACCAGGUACAGUUUCUUUAGAAACAGCAAAUGUCAUCACAAAUACGUCUGUGAGUUCACCCAGUGAAUCAGGCAGUGGUAUUACUAAAAGUAAUGUGGAUCAUCCAAGCCUUUCACCAUCUUCACCAGUACUCAGUCAGCAUACAGUUGACUCCAGUAUGGAAAUAGAAAAAGACCAUGUGUCAAACCAGGCUCCUAAGUGCAGUGUGAAAUCUGUGGACAUAAGUGAUGAAUUGUGUCCCCCGGAAUUUCCAUCGAAAGCACAAGCUGUUAAACGUAAAACACGAAACAUUAAAAAAUCCUCAUGUUCAAAUUUUCAGCACUUGGAAAAUAGUGCUAAAAAGGACAUGACAUUUUGUUAUUCAUGCCAGUUGUUCUGCCAAAAGCAAUUUAGCUAUAGUGGAGAGUCAUUUACAACCCAAAGUAUUUCUAAUUGGAAAAAAACCCUAGAAAAAUUCAGAAAGCAUGAAAAAAGUGAAAUGCAUUUGAAGUCAUUGCAGUUUUGGAAAGAAUACCAGUUUUGUGAUGAAACUGUUGGUAAUAACGUAUCCAUUCACUCUAAAAAGACAGAAGAAAAUAAAAAGUACCUACAACUUAUAAUUGAAAAUAUUUUAUUUUUGGGGAAACAAUGUUUAAUCUUACAAGAAAAUGAUCAGUCUACUACAUCUGUAAAUAAGGGCAAUUUCUUAGAAUUGUUAGAAAUCAGAGCAAGAGAUAAAGGAGAAGACCUAUUUCGUCAUAUGAGCUCCCAAAUAGACUUUUAUAAUAGUACACAAAUUCAGAAUGAUCUUAUUGAAAUAAUAAAGACUGAAAUGUUGCAAGAUAUUGUGAAUGAGAUCAAUGUCUCCUCAGCUUUUUCAAUAAUAUGUGAUGAGGUAACUGAUAGUAACACAAAAGAACAGCUUUCAAUUUGUGUAAGAUACCCACAUAAAACAUCAAAGACUUUCUUAAUUAAGGAAAGGUUUUUGGGUUUCAUAGAUGUUGGAGAGAGGACUGGGACUGACAUACAGAUUAGUAUCAAAACUUAUCUGCAACAUGUUGGACUUGACUGUAGUAAAAUAUGUGGCCAAGCCUAUGGUAGUACAAAUAAUUUAAGGGGGACAUUUAAUAACAUAGCAGCAGAAUUCAAGAAGGAUGAGCCAAGGGCUUUAUAUACACAUUGUUAUGCACAUUUCUUGGAUUUUGCGAUAAUUAGGUUUUGUAAAGAAGUAAAAGAACUACGAAGUGCUCUAAAUACUCUUACUUCUUUGUUUAACACUAUUCAUAUGUCUGAGAAAGUGACUGCAAAUUUUCAAAACAUCUUUAAACUAAGUCAAAACAAAACAUGCAAGAAACAUACAUCAGAAUUGUGUUGGACUGUCCAUGAUCGAGCGUUAUUAUCUGUGAUUGAGGGUCUUCCAGAGAUUAUUGAAACACUACAAGCUGUCUCAAGCCAUCCUUCAAAUACAAAUUUGGCUAAUGAGUUGAAUGAUUUGUUGACAUCAGUUUGCAAAUUUGAAUUUAUCUUUUGUUUGAAUUUUCUUUAUAGAGUGCUAAGUGUUACAGGAAUUCUUUCUAAAGAACUUAAAAGUGAAACUAUAGACAUUUUUUCUCUCUCUUCAAAGAUUGAAGCAAUUUUGGAUUGUUUAUCAUCUGAAAGAAGUAAUGCCUGUUUCAAAACUGUCUGGGAAAAAACAGAGGAAAUAUGUCAAAAAAUAACUUGUUUUGAAGUAGAAAACCCUUCUUUUGAGAGAAAAAGAAAAAUUCAGAAGACAAUAAGACAUACAAAUUCAGAGAGUGGUUUUUUUCCUACCUCUAUAGAAGAACACUAUGAAGUUCAUAUUUAUCACCAAGGAUUGGACAGCGUAUUACAAAAUUUAAAAUUGUAUUUUUCAGAAUUUGAUUAUUGCAAAAUGAAGCAAAUUGCAGAAAUACUAUUUAAAUGGAAUGAACCACUAAAUGAAGCAAAAGCCAAACAUGUUGAAGAAUUUUAUAAACUUGAUGCAGACAUCAUUCCAGAACUUAGAUUUUAUCAACAUUAUGCAAGGCUCAACUUUGUCCUAAAUGACUGUAUUAACUUCAUCAAUCUUGGCUCUUUGUUCAUUCAGCAUGGUCUUCUCAAUAAUAUUCCUGGAAUAUCAAAGCUAUUGUAUAUUGCUUUAUCUUGGCCUAUUACUCCAGCAAGUGCCAAAAACUCACAUUCUACACUGAAUCAUCUUAAGAAAUACGUAAGUCAUACAAUGGGACAAGAGAAGGUUAGUGGACUGGCCCUAAUGGCUGUUGAGCAGGAAUUGACAAAUAAACUCAUGGAGACUGAAAGACUCAAUGGCAUUGUGGAAAAGUUUAUCCAUCAAAUAGAAAUAUAAUGCAUGCUAAUUUGAAUUUACCUAAAAUAAUUUUGUAUACCCAUUAGAAUGUUGAGAUCUUAUAAUUUAAUCUUUGAAGAAUUUUUUUCCCAAACAGAACCUGUAAGCAUUCACUAGAUUAAAAAUUCAGAAGUAUAUAGAAUAUACAUAAUGAAAAGUUGUCUGCUCAUAUUUUAGUACCCAGUUCCCUCUUCCUGAAGUGUUACCUGUUUCUUAAACGGCCUUCUAGAAUGUAUAGUGUACAGUUUUUCAACAUGUGUUUUCCAUUUAAGUUACCUUGUUCCUUGUUAGUACAGUGUCUUUAAUUUUUAAUCUUUUUAAUUAUUUAACUGCAUAAAAUUUUGUUGUAUGGGUGGCCAGGUGGCAGCUUACCUCAGAGUGCACACAUUACCAUGUGUGAGGUACCCACUUUGGUACCCCUAACACACACCUCUUGCUUCACAAGAAAUGGAGCACUGGCUCCUCUUUCUCAUCUGCUGUCAAAGAAAAAAAAAAAAACCACCGGGAAAAGUGCAGUCAAGUAGACACCAAACCAUGAUAAUUACUCAGGUGGCAAAAGAUUUCAUUGUAUGUAUAUGAAGAUUUCAUCGUGUGCAUUUACCAUAUUUGAGCAAUCCCUGCUUAGACAUUUUCCAUUAUAAUCUUUUGUAAUUAUAAAUAGACCCUCUUACGAAUCUUGUACAUAGGUUAUAUUGCACAGAAUUACUGUUUUGCUUUGUUUUUUUCCCUCCAGGGUUAUUGCUGGGCUCAGUGCCUGCACCAUGAAUCCACCGCUCCUGGAGGCCAUUUUUCUCCCUUUUUGUUGCCCUAGUUGUUGCAGCCUCGUUGCAGUUAUUAUUGCCAUUGUUGACGUUGCUUUGUUUUUUUUUUUUUUUUCUAAAGAGGAUAGUACGUGGGACCUCACCAUGUGAUUCACCACUGAACUACUUAUCUAGCCCCAAGAUCCAAUUUUAUAUGGAAAAUUAGGAACUAUUAAAGCACUGCUCAGCUCUUGCUUAUGGUAAUAUGGGGGACUGAACCUGGGACUUUGGAGUAGACUUUUAGGUGUAAGAGUCUCUGGACAUAACCAUUAUGCCAUCUACCUUCCACCCAGCCAUGAAUUUCCAACAAACCAGUAAAUACAAAAUGAUUAAGGUUGGUGGGCCCACAAAAUAGCUCAUCUGAAAGUGUCUGCUGUGCCAUUCACAUAACCAAACAGUAGCCCUUUCUUACUGCACUGGAGAUUCUUACAUGCUCUGCUAUCUUUUGCUUUCUGCAAACAGUCUAGGGCAAUGAAGCCCCAGUAGCAACAAAAAAAUAGCUGGCUGUGAACCAUUUAUAUUUCUUACUGUGUGGACAAUAGCAUUUAGGCUUUAGAGUAAGCAUUACAUACUGCUAAUUUCUGGUUAACACAAAAUCUAUACAUCUAAGGGAGAAACUAGAAAGCAUCACAGUACAUCAAACCAAGAGUUUCAUAUAUACACAAGUUCAGUGCUCUACCUGUGGAGUCCUUUUCCCAACUUCCAUGUCUUUUUUAUUUUCCCUUUUGUUGCCAUUGUUAUUGAUGUUGUGGUUAGGACAGAAAAAUGGAGAGAGGAGGAGGGGAAGAUGGGAAAAGACAACUGCAGACCUGCUUCACUACCUGUGAAGUGACUCCUCCGCAGGUGGGGAGGGAGCCAGGGGCUGGAACUGGGAUCCUUGCAAUUUGUGCCAAGUGCACUUAAUCCACUGCACUACCGACUCCUGUCUUUUUAAAAUAUUAGAGACAAAUCAAGAGGGAAUGGGGGGGGGGUUAGCAUAAUGGUUAUACAGACUAAUGCCUAAGGCUUCAGAGUCCUAGAUUCAAACCCACACACCACACCAUAAGCCAGUGUUCUGGCUAAAAGAGGGAAGGAGAUGGAAAGAAUGAGACAUUUGAGACCUGGUGGUGGUGCACCUGGUUGAGCGCACAUUACAAUGUGCAAGGACCCAGGUUUGAGUCCUUGGUCCCCAUCUGAAGGGGAAAAGCUUUGCAAGUAGUGAAGUAGUGCCAAUAGGGAUCUCUCUUUAAAAAUACCUUUAUUGUUGAUAAAGACAGGAAUUGAGAGGAGGGGCAUAUUGGGAGGGAAAGACCCCUGCAGCUCAGGUUCACCACACUUGAAGCUUUUCCCUUGUAAAAUGGUGCCCAGGGGCUUGAUUGUGUGUCUGUGACCAGGUGCACUACAGCCUCCUCAUUUCCCCCUUCCCUUUUUUAGCUGUGUCUAUCCAAUAAAGAGUUUAAAAAAAAAGGGGGGGGAAGGGCUAGGCAGUGGCACACCUGAUUAAACAUCCAGUGAAGUCAUGUCCCUGGUCUACAGGGGAGAUACUUCACAGGUGGUGAAGCAGGUCUGCAGGUGUCUUUCUCUCACACUCUCAUCUUUCCCUUCUCUAUUUUCUGUCCUAUCCAUCAACAGCAAUGGCAACAAAAUGGGAAAAAUGGCAUCCAGGAGCAGAAAAUUUGUAGUGCAGGCACUAAGCCCCAGCGAUAACCCUGGAGGCAAAAAAAAAAUACAAAUGGAUCACAAAUUUAGGCCCUGAGAAGACCCUGUAUAAGGCUCACCUGCCAUGUCCCAGGGUGGGCUCCUCAGCUACCCUGGCUACUUUAACUGGGCUUCUCAGGCUUUCCCUUGGCUACUACAUACCUGUCUCUUUGCCUCAUUUUUUGUCUUUUUAAAAUAAUUCUUUAUUAUUGGAUAGAGAUAGCCAGAAAUCAAGAGGGUAGGGGGAGACAGGGAAAGAGACAGACACCUGCAGUACUGCACCAAGCUUUCCUCCUGCUGGUUGGGGACCAGGGGCUUAAACCGAGGUCCUUGAGCAUUGUAGUACAUGUGCUCAAGCAGGUAUGCCACCAUCAUUCCCACCCUCCCCCUUUUUAUUUUAAAGAUUUUGUUAAUGAGGAAGAUAGAGAAAGAAUCAGACAUCACUCUGGUACAUGUGCUGCCGGGGAUUGAACUAAGGACCUCAUGCUUGAGAGUCCAAUGCUUUAUCCUCUGUGCCACCUCCCGGACCACGUCCACCCCCCCCUUUUUUUUUUUGUCCCGUAUUUCUUAGCAUUUUGGUGCCAAAACCCAGGAGAGGCUGCAGAGCUAGCCCUCUGCUCAGCUUCCCCCUACCUGUGUCUCCUUUCUCUGGCCCUAUCCCAAUUAUCUUCCUUCACACCUCAAGGGGAGCUAAGUACCCCUGAGCUCACUUAAGAUUUUUUUUUUUUAAUUUAUUAAUGGGUAGUGCAGCGGGUUAAGCGCAUGUGGCGCAAAGCACAAAGACCGGCGUACGGAUCCUGGUUAGAGCCCCCGGCUCCCCACCUGCAGGGGAGUCGCUUCACAGAUGGUGAAACAGGUCUGCAGGUGUCUUUCACUCCCCCUCUCUCCAUCUCUCUGUCCUAUCCAACAGUGACAUCAAUAACUACAGUAACAAUGAAAAACAAGGGCAACAAAAGGGAAAAUAAACAUAAAAAAUUAACGAGUGGGAUAGGAGAGAGAACCAGACAUCACUCUGGUACACGUGCUGCUGGGGAUUGAACUCAGGACCUCAUGCUCAAGAGUCCAACACUAUCCACUGUGCCACCUCCUGGACCACAGCUCACUAAGAUUUAAAGGCAGCCAGAAAUUACCUGGACUCUAGAGCCAUGUAGUUUAUGUCGGGGGAGGCAUUGCCAUGUCUUAUACUGGAUUCUAUUGGUAAAUCCCUUUCUCUUUUUCACUCCCUGUUUUCUCUCCCUUUAACCCCUUCUCAUUCUCCCCACCACCUUCUAGAGAAGAAAAGAGAAGGGCCCUUUGCCAUCUCAGUCUCACCAUUUGAUUGGUUUAUCUCAAUGAAAGAAAACUUCCAGACAAGGUUUUAUUUAUAAGAAAGAUGGGGGAGAGAAAGAACCAGACAUCACUGGCACAUGUGCUGCCAGGGAUUGAACUCGAGACCUCCUGCUUGAGAGUCCAAAGCUUUAUCACUGUGCCACCUCCUGGAUCACUAAUUCGCAUUUUCUGUACUAUCUUCUCUUAAACCUUCUAAGUCUGACAAUUCUGUAAUCAUUCUCCGUCUUAUUUCAACUCAUACACCUAUUUUUUAGCUCCAAAACAUGUCAACGUGAAAACCUGAUUAUCAUAAAGUAUUACCUUAGUGGUGGUAGUUAUCUUGUGUGUCU